UCUCUUUUUCUUUCCCCUUCUCCUUUUUCUUUUUCCAGAACAACAAUUGCUUGAAGUUCUAGAAACAUUUGUUUGGCAUUUGAUGAUGUCGACACAACCUCCAUAUAUGUUCCAUAUCUAUCAAAUACAUAUGUCCUAUUUUACUUCAGAACUAUAAAUAGCAACACCAAAUACAUAGCAUCAUCAAUCUUCCCAACAACAUUGAAAUUCUCAAUAGCAAAUUUUAAUUCAUUUUCAUUUCCUACAAAAUGGAGCAAAUAAUCUACCUAGGUCCCCCUAGGUAAGUGGAAAUUUCCAUGUUCAACCAAAUAAAAAAAAUAUACUUUAUAAAAAAUAAAAUUUCAUAAACAAUGCAAAUUCAUGAAAAGUUAUACUUUCUCAGAAAAGUUAUACUUCCUCCGUUCCAUAAUAGGUGAAAUACUUAUCUCUUUGAUGUGAGAGCUUUUCUACAGAAGUGUUUCAUUUAUUAUGAAACGGAUAAGUACUUUCCAACUUUAAUGAAACGAACCCUAAGAUGGUACUAGAUUGAAUUUCCCGAAGAUAAAUUGAACUGGUUCUUCAAAACAUAACAAAACGAUACAGUUUUUAUACCGUGCGCACCUAAUUGAAGGUGCAACCGUGUGCAGUUGUGCACUUGUGCACCUUCCAAUUUGCGAUAAUCACCCUUCUGUUUUCAGAAGCAAGUUGUUCUCGUUGCACAAAUGAUGUUUUCGCUUCCGGCAUUCUCAACCUAAAGGUGAUCCGCAACUUGAUAGUGGUGCUGUAACAAAAGAGGUUGUCACUUCGUUUCUUUUGGUUGUACCAUUGAUCCACUAUGUUCUCAAAAUUGCAAAACAUGGAGUUUAAGUCCAAAGGUUCAUUUCCGACAUUGCAGAUGUGAUCAAAAUCAGUCUGACACAAGGGUCCAACACGCUCGAGUUCUAGGCGAGGUAUAUGUCUCAAUAUGUGGCUUGACAUCGGUUUAUGUCGAGUUCAAGCUUAAGAAUCUGUACCCAGGAUAAGUUACAUUGGCAUUUGAUUGCAUUUUCUAUGCUUAUUAUUUAGUUAAAUGAAAUUAAAUUGCAGCAUACGAUAGUAAGACAUCACUGGCAUGCCAUGACACGUAUGGAUUGAGAAGUUAAUGAUCUUAAAACAGAUCUUUGGGUAGUGCCACUUUUAGAUCGGUCUAUCUUCACAACAUAGUAUUCCAAGGUGUUGUUAUUUUUGUUUGGUUAGAGGGAAAAAGUUGUUUUUUUUUGCUUUUCUUUAGUCUUAUUUAUUUGAGAGCCUUCCUUGGACAUCAUUGGAUCAGAAUAUACAGCGUGAGUGGCACUCGUUUUCAGCCUUGCAUUUGUACAUCUUUUUAUGAUUUUUUUUUGGGGUAGCUGAAAAGCGUUGUUUACCGUGUUUCUAUCUGGUGUUACUUUGUGGGGACCUUCCCUAGAUAGUGAUGGAAUGUUUAUUAUGUGGUUGGCGCACAUAACUUAGCCAAGAGUUUGUAGAGGAGUCUUGGUGCUCGCUUUGUAAUUUCUCAUUGAUGAAAUUUCUCUAUAUCAAAAGAUAAAAGAUUUUAUUUGGUUUUA